rnacentral:other from 1 species
GCGGGGCUGCCUGGUGCGUCAGGCAAUUCAACCCCCGGGCCGAUAAGCACUUCCUCGGGAGCUGGCUCUGUCAUGGCUCUUGGCCAUGUUACCCGGCGCCCACCUGCACAUGCGGGUUCUGGGAGGCUGACAGUCCAACGGCCGAGGCGGCUCCGCA